rnacentral:rRNA from 1 species
UGGGGAAUAUUGGACAAUGGGGGCAACCCUGAUCCAGCAAUGCCGCGUGUGUGAAGAAGGUCUUCGGAUUGUAAAGCACUUUCGACGGGGACGAUGAUGACGGUACCCGUAGAAGAAGCCCCGGCUAACUUCGUGCCAGCAGCCGCGGUAAUACGAAGGGGGCUAGCGUUGCUCGGAAUGACUGGGCGUAAAGGGCGUGUAGGCGGUUUACACAGUCAGAUGUGAAAUCCCCGGGCUUAACCUGGGAGCUGCAUUUGAUACGUGUAGACUAGAGUGUGAGAGAGGGUUGUGGAAUUCCCAGUGUAGAGGUGAAAUUCGUAGAUAUUGGGAAGAACACCGGUGGCGAAGGCGGCAACCUGGCUCAUGACUGACGCUGAGGCGCGAAAGCGUGGGGAGCAAACAGGAUUAGAUACCCUGGUAGUCCACGCUGUAAACGAUGUGUGCUAGAUGUUGGGUAACUUUGUUAUUCAGUGUCGCAGUUAACGCGUUAAGCACACCGCCUGGGGAGUACGGGCCGCAAGG